UACAGAGGGUGCAAGCGUUGUUCGGAAUUAUUGGGCGUAAAGCGCGUGUAGGCGGCAUGGCAAGUCGGGUGUGAAAGCCCUCAGCUUAACUGAGGAAGUGCGCCCGAAACUGCCGUGCUUGAGUGCCGGAGAGGGUGGCGGAAUUCCCCAAGUAGAGGUGAAAUUCGUAGAUAUGGGGAGGAACACCGGUGGCGAAGGCGGCCACCUGGACGGUAACUGACGCUGAGACGCGAAAGCGUGGGGAGCAAACGGG
rnacentral:rRNA from 1 species